rnacentral:ncRNA from 1 species
GGUGACAUGGGGAUUAUAGUUGAUGAAGAUAUAGCCACGUGCCUGAUCGAUCGUAUGGAACAGAGGGUUCCAGAUGAACAUUGGCAGCAUGUAGCCCGGCAGGGUGUUCGCCAGCACCAUUUUGCCUGAAAACAACAUGUUGGAGCGCUG